rnacentral:pre_miRNA from 1 species
UGGAAGAAUCUGUAAAGCUCAGGAGGGAUAGCGCCAUGGGUAAGUAGGAACUUGUGUUCUGUUUGUCUAGAGGCGCUAUCUAUCCUGAGUUUCAUGGGUUCUUCCU